GACGAACGCUGGCGGCGUGCUUAACACAUGCAAGUCGAACGGAAAGGCCCUGCUUUUGUGGGGUGCUCGAGUGGCGAACGGGUGAGUAACACGUGAGUAACCUGCCCUUGACUUUGGGAUAACUUCAGGAAACUGGGGCUAAUACCGGAUAGGAGCUCCUGCUGCAUGGGGGGGGUUGGAAAGUUUCGGCGGUUGGGGAUGGACUCGCGGCUUAUCAGCUUGUUGGUGGGGUAGUGGCUUACCAAGGCUUUGACGGGUAGCCGGCCUGAGAGGGUGACCGGCCACAUUGGGACUGAGAUACGGCCCAGACUCCUACGGGAGGCAGCAGUGGGGAAUAUUGCACAAUGGGCGGAAGCCUGAUGCAGCAACGCCGCGUGCGGGAUGACGGCCUUCGGGUUGUAAACCGCUUUCGCCUGUGACGAAGCGUGAGUGAUGGUAAUGGGUAAAGAAGCACCGGCUAACUACGUG
rnacentral:rRNA from 1 species